rnacentral:lncRNA from 1 species
GCAGCAGUCCCGUUGCACGAUGUUCCGACGGUCUGAGGCCGAAGGGCAGGAGCAGCGAGGCCGGUCUUGGGCAACGAGAGGGUGCAGGUCGGGGAGGAAGCAGCAGGUCUCAGGUAGCAGGCCCAGGGAAGUCCAUCAGCAAACGGUCCGUAGAGGAGGAUCUGAAGGCAGGAAGCUCGUGUCGUGGUGAGAGAUCAGUCUCCACGUAGAGAUCCGUCUCCCCGUUGCGGUGAGAGAUCAGUUGGCAGAGAACCCCUCAAGUCUGUCGUGGUGAGAGAUAAGCCUCUCCCGUUGCCGUGGUUGUGGUGAAGGAUCAGCUUCCACCGUUGUGGUUAUUGGACCCUCUUUUAUCCUCCAUUUUCUGCUGCCUACGUGACAUUCCUGGGUGCUUGAGCAAGAGUCCUGUGCAUACCUCCUGAGAUGGCCAUUUUCCUUGAGAUAAGUCCACACAAAAAGACCGCUUCCCGGCCAUUAGCAGCAGCUUAUCUCUCUCUCGAUGCCCCUGGCCUUGUCCAUCUGUGCUCCUUAAAGGAUUUCACAAUCCUUAGC